rnacentral:tRNA from 1 species
GGGGCCAUAGCUCAGCUGGGAGAGCGCCUGCAUGGCAUGCAGGAGGUCGUCGGUUCGAUCCCGUCUGGCUCCA